AUAACAACAGAUGAUGCCUAUCAACUAGUUUAAAGAUGGUUCUGCUAUCACUCUUGGAUGGACCUGCGGUGCAUUAGCUAGUUGGUAGGGGUAACGGGCCUACCCAAGGCGAUGAUGCAUAGCCCGAGUUGAGAGACUGAUCGGGCCACAUUGGGGACUGAGACACGGCCCAAAACUCCUACGGGGAGGCAGCAGUAGGGAAUCUUCCACAAUGGACGCAAGUCUGAUGGAGCAACGCCGCGUGAGUGAAGUAAGGGUUUCGGCUACGUAAAGCUCUGUUGUUGGUGAAGAAGGACGAGGGGUAGUAACUGACCUUUGUUUGACGGUAAUCAAUUAGAAAGUUUACGGCUAACUACGUGCCAGCAGCCGCGGUAAU
rnacentral:rRNA from 1 species